GUUACACAAAUGGGAAAAUCAAUAUGGAUGGAGAGGUGACCAGGUUCUUCUAGCAACCCAAUAAAGAACAUUGAUCUGAGGAUUCACCAUGGGACAGAACUUAGUGGACUUCAGAGACCAUCAAAUUGACAAUCAUGACGAACAAGAAAAUGAUCUGGAACACUAACUGCCUGGCACAUGAUGAACAAGAACACAAGAUAGAUUGGGAAGCCAAGGUUGGGGUUUUUGAGUUUCACGUGUUCUUCAACCAGCAAGAAUAUAAGAAUCUUCUUUGUCUUGGGUGAUUCCUCUAAAACUGUAA